UGUAUUAAAGAAUUAAAUGGAUGAAAUAUGAAGUUUUAUUAAAAGAAAAAUGGGUGAAAAGAACAAAGUUUUGUCCAUCUUUGUUCAUCAUAGCUGAAAGUUAGAGAAGAGAAAGGAGAGGAGAAAGCUCUUGAGUAUUUGGUCAUUAGGAGGAGGAAAAUUGAAGGCGGUUCGUGUGUGGAUCUCGUCAGCAUAUCGUCGCAAACAGGAAAUCCCCAACCAUAGUGGGCU